GCGCAGCGGGCAGCGGGCCCUCAGGUGUCCUGCUGGGAGCUGGCUGGGUUUGCCCCCGCUUCGCACGGGUGCUCGCCAGAGCUGCCAGCGCUGCCUGGCAUCCCCCCUGCCAGGGGACGCGUCUUGCAGUGAGGAAAAUCGGUCCCCUCACUGAUUGCAUCCUUCAUCCCUUCAGGGCAACCAGGGAGACCCAGGACCCCCAGGACCUCCGGGCACCGCUGGCCCGCCGGGCACCCAGGGCCCGUCUGGGAUGAAGGGAGAUCCGGGGGAGCCUGGCUCCAGCAUCCGCGUGAGUCGCUGUGCCCUCCUGGAGCUCCCCGUCCCCAUCGGCGCCAGCCCUGACCCCCCGAAGGCAGCCGGCACCUUCCCACGGGGACUUGUCGUUCCUCGGCCAGCCGAGACUGGG
rnacentral:lncRNA from 1 species